rnacentral:rRNA from 1 species
AGAGUUUGAUCCUGGCUCAGAUUGAACGCUGGCGGCAUGCCUUACACAUGCAAGUCGAACGGCAGCACGAGAGCUUGCUCUUGGUGGCGAGUGGCGAACGGGUGAGUAAUAUAUCGGAACGUACCCUAGAGUGGGGGAUAACGUAGCGAAAGUUACGCUAAUACCGCAUACGAUCUACGGAUGAAAGUGGGGGAUCGCAAGACCUCAUGCUCAUGGAGCGGCCGAUAUCUGAUUAGCUAGUUGGUGGGGUAAAGGCUCACCAAGGCGACGAUCAGUAGCUGGUCUGAGAGGACGACCAGCCACACUGGAACUGAGACACGGUCCAGACCCCUACGGGAGGCAGCAGUGGGGAAUUUUGGACAAUGGGCGCAAGCCUGAUCCAGCAAUGCCGCGUGAGUGAAGAAGGCCUUCGGGUUGUAAAGCUCUUUUGUCAGGGAAGAAACGGUGGACUCUAAUACAGAUCACUAAUGACGGUACCUGAAGAAUAAGCACCGGCUAACUACGUGCCAGCAGCCGCGGUGAUACGUAGGGUGCAAGCGUUAAUCGGAGCUACUGGGCGUAAAGCGUGCGCAGGCGGUUGUGCAAGACAGAUGUGAAAUCCCCGGGCUCAACCUGGGAAUUGCAUUUGUGACUGCACGGCUAGAGUGUGUCAGAGGGGGGUAGAAUUCCACGUGUAGCAGUGAAAUGCGUAGAGAUGUGGAGGAAUACCGAUGGCGAAGGCAGCCCCCUGGGAUAACACUGACGCUCAUGCACGAAAGCGUGGGGAGCAAACAGGAUUAGAUACCCUGGUAGUCCACGCCCUAAACGAUGUCUACUAGUUGUCGGGUCUUAAUUGACUUGGUAACGCAGCUAACGCGUGAGGUAGACCGCCUGGGGAGUACGGUCGCAAGAUUAAAACUCAAAGGAAUUGACGGGGACCCGCACAAGCGGUGGAUGAUGUGGAUUAAUUCGAUGCAGCGCGAAAAACCUUACCUACCCUUGACAUGUCUGGAAUCCUUGAGAGAUCAGGGAGUGCUCGAAAGAGAAUCAGAACACAGGUGCUGCAUGGCUGUCGUCAGCUCGUGUCGUGAGAUGUUGGGUUAAGUCCCGCAACGAGCGCAACCCUUGUCAUUAGUUGCUACGAAAGGGCACUCUAAUGAGACUGCCGGUGACAAACCGGAGGAAGGUGGGGAUGACGUCAAGUCCUCAUGGCCCUUAUGGGUAGGGCUUCACACGUCAUACAAUGGUACAUACAGAGGGCCGCCAACCCGCGAGGGGGAGCUAAUCCCAGAAAGUGUAUCGUAGUCCGGAUUGUAGUCUGCAACUCGACUACAUGAAGUUGGAAUCGCUAGUAAUCGCGGAUCAGCAUGUCGCGGUGAAUACGUUCCCGGGUCUUGUACACACCGCCCGUCACACCAUGGGAGCGGGUUUCACCAGAAGUGGGUAGCCUAACCGCAAGGAGGGCGCUCACCACGGUGGGAUUCGUGACUGGGGUGAAGUCGUAACAAGGUA